rnacentral:rRNA from 1 species
UACGUAGGUGGCAAGCGUUGUCCGGAUUUACUGGGCGUAAAGAAUGCGUAGGCGGAUAUUUAAGUGAGAUGUGAAAUUCCCGGGCUUAACUUGGGAGCUGCAUUUCAAACUGGAUAUCUAGAGUGCGGGAGAGGUAAGUGGAAUUCUCGGUGUAGCGGUGAAAUGCGUAGAUAUCGAGAGGAACACCUGCGGCGAAGGCGGGUUGCUGGGCUGACACUGACGCUGAGGCGCGAAAGCUAGGGGAGCGAACGGG